CGGGGAGUAGCGCAGUUCGGUAGCGCACCUGCUUUGGGAGCAGGAGGUCGUGGGUUCGAAUCCCCCCUCCCCGA
rnacentral:tRNA from 1 species